rnacentral:lncRNA from 1 species
CAUUGCCGUCUAUGCCAACGCUACUCGGUCCAAUCCCAAAAGGUGGAUUGUUUGCCCCAGGUGUAGUCACUAUGCCUGUCCCCGUGCCAGUUCCUGGAGUUGUGGUGCCAGGUGGUGCAAUCGUUGGUAUUGUAGAUCCUGGUGGUGCGAUUGUUGGAGUUGUGGUUCCUGGAGGUGCGAUUGUGGUCCCAGGUGGUGCGAUUGUUGGAGUUGUGGUUCCCGGUGGUGCUGUUGACGGAGUUGUUGUACCUCCACCAGUGUUGC